UUCGCAAUGCCCGAAAGGGCGACGAAGCGACGCCGCGUGCGGGAGGAAGGCCUUCGGGUUGUAAACCGCUGUCGGGAGUUAAGAAAUGCAAGGAUGUUAAUAGCGUUCUUGCUUGACUAAGGCUCCGGAGGAAGCCACGGCUAACUCUGUGCCAGCAGCCGCGGUAAUACAGAGGCGGCAAGCGUUGUUCGGAAUUAUUGGGCGUAAAGAGCACGUAGGCGGCUGUGUAGGUCGGUUGUGAAAGCCUUCCGCUCAACGGAAGAACGGCAUCCGAUACUGCAUGGCUUGAGUGUGGGAGGGGAGAGUGGAACUUCUGGUGGGGCGGUGAAAUGCGUAGAUAUCAGAAGGAACGCCGGCGGCGAAAGCGACUCUCUGGUCCGAAACUGACGCUGAGUGUGCGAAAGCUAGGGGAGCAAACGGGAUUAGAUACCCCGGUAGUCCUAGCCGUAAACGAUGGGCACUAAGUAGAGGGGUUUU
rnacentral:rRNA from 1 species